AUUGAACGCUGGCGGCAUGCCUUACACAUGCAAGUCGAACGGUAACGGGCCUUCGGGUGCCGACGAGUGGCGAACGGGUGAGUAAUGUAUCGGAACGUACCUUUCAGUGGGGGAUAACGUAGCGAAAGUUACGCUAAUACCGCAUAUUCUGUGAGCAGGAAAGCAGGGGAUCGCAAGACCUUGCGCUGAUUGAGCGGCCGAUAUCAGAUUAGCUAGUUGGUGAGGUAAAGGCUCACCAAGGCGACGAUCUGUAGCGGGUCUGAGAGGAUGAUCCGCCACACUGGAACUGAGACGCGGUCCAGACUCCUGCGGGCGGCAGCAGUGGGGAAGUGUGGACAAUGGGGGCAACCCUGAUCCAGCCAUGCCGCGUGAGUGAAGAAGGCCUUCGGGUUGUAAAGCUCUUUCGGCCGGGAAGAAAUCGUAUCAGCUAAUACCUGGUGCGGAUGACGGUACCGGCAUAAGAAGCACCGGCUAACUACGUGCCAGCCGCCGCCGUAAAAC
rnacentral:rRNA from 1 species